rnacentral:rRNA from 1 species
AACGCUAGCUACAGGCUUAACACAUACAAGUCGAGGGGUAACGAGAGGAAAGCUUGCUUUCCUUGUCGACGACCGGCGCACGGGUGAGUAACGCGUAUCCAACCUGCCCCCAACUAGGGAAUAACCUUGCGAAAGUAAGACUAAUACCCUAUAAUUUCCUCAGAUGUCAUCUGACGAGGAAUAAAGAUUUAUCGGUUGUGGAUGGGGAUGCGUCUGAUUAGCUUGUUGGCGGGGUAAUGGCCCACCAAGGCAACGAUCAGUAGGGGUUCUGAGAGGAAGGUCCCCCACAUUGGAACUGAGACACGGUCCAAACUCCUACGGGAGGCAGCAGUGAGGAAUAUUGGUCAAUGGGCGGAAGCCUGAACCAGCCAAGUAGCGUGCAGGAUGACGGCCCUAUGGGUUGUAAACUGCUUUUAUACAGGAAUAAAGUUAGCCACGUGUGGUUAUUUGUAGGUACUGUAUGAAUAAGGACCGGCUAAUUCCGUGCCAGCAGCCGCGGUAAUACGGAAGGUCCAGGCGUUAUCCGGAUUUAUUGGGUUUAAAGGGAGCGUAGGCCGUCUGUUAAGCGUGUUGUGAAAUGUAGAUGCUCAACAUCUGAAUUGCAGCGCGAACUGGCAGACUUGAGUGUGCGCAACGUAGGCGGAAUUCGUGGUGUAGCGGUGAAAUGCUUUGAUAUCACGAAGAACUCCGAUUG